CCUACGGGUGGCAGCAGUGGGGAAUAUUGGACAAUGGGGGCAACCCUGAUCCAGCCAUGCCGCGUGUGUGAAGAAGGCCCUCGGGUUGUAAAGCACUUUCAGUGAGGAAGAACGCCUGGUGGUUAAUACCCAUCAGGAAAGACAUCACUCACAGAAGAAGCACCGGCUAACUCCGUGCCAGCAGCCGCGGUAAUACGGAGGGUGCGAGCGUUAAUCGGAAUUACUGGGCGUAAAGCGCGCGUAGGUGGCUUGAUAAGCCGGUUGUGAAAGCCCCGGGCUCAACCUGGGAACGGCAUCCGGAACUGUCAAGCUAGAGUGCAGGAGAGGAAGGUAGAAUUCCCGGUGUAGCGGUGAAAUGCGUAGAGAUCGGGAGGAAUACCAGUGGCGAAGGCGGCCUUCUGGACUGACACUGACACUGAGGUGUGAAAGCGUGGGUAGCAAACAGGAUUAGAUACCCCUGUAGUC
rnacentral:rRNA from 1 species